rnacentral:rRNA from 1 species
UUGGAGGGCAAGUCUGGUGCCAGCAGCCGCGGUAAUUCCAGCUCCAAUAGCGUAUAUUAAAGUUGUUGCAGUUAAAAAGCUCGUAGUUGAAUUUCGGGGUUCUACCGUUGGUCGGGCUUUGUCUGUACUGGUGUGUAGAAUUUCUACCUUCUGGGGAACCAUCAUGCUAUUAAUUUAGCGUGGUGGGAAACCAGGACCUUUACCUUGAAAAAAUUAGUGUGUUCAAAGCAGGCUUAUGUCUGAAUACAUUAGCGUGGAAUAAUAGAAUAGGACGGUGGUCCUGUUUUGUUGGUUUCUGAAUCACCGUAAUGAUUAAUAGGGAUAGUUGGGGGCAUUAGUACUCAAUUGUCAGAGGUGAAAUUCUUGGAUUUAUUGAAGACUAACUUCUGCGAAAGCAUUUGCCAAGGAUGUUUUCAUUAAUCAAGAACGAAAGUUAGGGGAUCGAAGACGAUCAGAUACCGUCGUAGUCUUAACCAUAAACUAUGCCGACUAGGGAUCGGACGAUGUUAAUUUUUCUUGACUCGUUCGGCGCCUUACGGGAAAC